rnacentral:rRNA from 1 species
UUGCACGCUGGCGGCAUGCCUUACACAUGCCAGUCGAACGGCAGCACGGGUGCUUGCCCCUGGUGGCGAGUGGCGAACGGGUGAGUAAUACAUCGGAACAUGUCCUGUAGUGGGGGAUAGCCCGGCGAAAGCCGGAUUAAUACCGCAUACGAUCUACGGAUGAAAGCGGGGGACCUUCGGGCCUCGCGCUAUAGGGUUGGCCGAUGGCUGAUUAGCUAGUUGGUGGGGUAAAGGCCUACCAAGGCGACGAUCAGUAGCUGGUCUGAGAGGACGACCAGCCACACUGGGACUGAGACACGGCCCAGACUCCUACGGGAGGCAGCAGUGGGGAAUUUUGGACAAUGGGCGAAAGCCUGAUCCAGCAAUGCCGCGUGUGUGAAGAAGGCCUUCGGGUUGUAAAGCACUUUUGUCCGGAAAGAAAUCCUUGGCCCUAAUACGGUCGGGGGAUGACGGUACCGGAAGAAUAAGCACCGGCUAACUACGUG